UCAGCUAAAAUCAUCCACAUACCAUCGAGACUACCAAGAUGUCAAAUACCUUUCUAAACUAUACCAAACCAGAGGAUAAAAACAACAGGUAGAAUGAUGAAGACAGAAGAGAAAAGAGCAAAGCAUUUCAACCUUGGUUUUCUUUUGGAGCAAAAUUAAAAGUCAGAAAUCAUCCAAGCUAGGAGAUUUCCAUAAGUGACCCCACUGAGUUACAUAAAUAAAAUUCCAGCAUAUUAAA